CCUACGGGGGGCAGCAGUGAGGAAUAUUGGUCAAUGGACGAGAGUCUGAACCAGCCAAGUAGCGUGAAGGAUGACUGCCCUAUGGGUUGUAAACUUCUUUUAUAUGGGAAUAAAAUGUUCCACGUGUGGGAUUUUGUAUGUACCAUAUGAAUAAGGAUCGGCUAACUCCGUGCCAGCAGCCGCGGUAAUACGGAGGAUCCGAGCGUUAUCCGGAUUUAUUGGGGUUAAAGGGAGCGUAGGUGGAUUGUUUAGUCAGUUGUGAAAGUUUGCGGCUCAACCGUAAAAUUGCAGUUGAAACUGGCAGUCUUGAGUACAGUAGAGGUGGGCGGAAUUCGUGGUGUAGCGGUGAAAUGCUUAGAUAUCACGAAGAACUCCGAUGGCGAAGGCAGUUCACUGGACUGCAACUGACACUGAGGCUCGAAAGUGUGGGUAUCAAACAGGAUUAGAUACCCUUGUAGUC
rnacentral:rRNA from 1 species